GACGAACGCUGGCGCCGUGCUUAACACAUGCAAGUCGAACGGUGAAGGUGGGAGCUUGCUCCUGCUGGAUCAGUGGCGAACGGGUGAGUAACACGUGAGUAACCUGCCCUUGACUCUGGGAUAAGCGUUGGAAACGACGUCUAAUACCGGAUACGAGCUUCAGUCGCAUGGCUAGGAGUUGGAAAGAUUUUUCGGUCAAGGAUGGACUCGCGGCCUAUCAGCUUGUUGGUGAGGUAAUGGCUCACCAAGGCGACGACGGGUAGCCGGCCUGGGAGGGUGACCGGCCACACUGGGACUGAGACACGGCCCAGACUCCUACGGGAGGCAGCAGUGGGGAAUAUUGCACAAUGGGCGCAAGCCUGAUGCAGCAACGCCGCGUGAGGGACGACGGCCUUCGGGUUGUAAACCUCUUUUAGCAGGGAAGAAGCGCAAGUGACGGUACCUGCAGAAAAAGCACCGGCUAACUACGUGCCAGCCGCCGCCGUAAUAC
rnacentral:rRNA from 1 species